AGCGAACGCUGGCGGCAGGCCUAACACAUGCAAGUCGAACGAACUCUUCGGAGUUAGUGGCGGACGGGUGCGUAACACGUGGGAACGUGCCUUUAGGUUCGGAAUAACUCAGGGAAACUUGUGCUAAUACCGAAUGUGCCCUUCGGGGGAAAGAUUUAUCGCCUUUAGAGCGGCCCGCGUCUGAUUAGCUAGUUGGUGAGGUAAAGGCUCACCAAGGCGACGAUCAGUAGCUGGUCUGAGAGGAUGAUCAGCCACAUUGGGACUGAGACACGGCCCAAACUCCUACGGGAGGCAGCAGUGGGGAAUCUUGCGCAAUGGGCGAAAGCCUGACGCAGCCAUGCCGCGUGUAUGAUGAAGGUCUUAGGAUUGUAAAAUUCUUUCACCGGGGACGAUAAUGACGGUACCCGGAGAAGAAGCCCCGGCUAACUUCGUG
rnacentral:rRNA from 1 species